rnacentral:tRNA from 1 species
GGGGCCGUAGCUCAGAUGGGACAGCGCGUCGUUCGCAAUGACGAGGUCAGGGGUUCGAUCCCCCUAGGCUCCACCA